rnacentral:rRNA from 1 species
GACGAACGCUGGCGGCGUGCUUAACACAUGCAAGUCGUACGGUAAGGCCCUUUCGGGGGUACACGAGUGGCGAACGGGUGAGUAACACGUGCGUAACCUGCCCACAACUUUGGGAUAACGCUAGGAAACUGGUGCUAAUACUGGAUAUGUGCUCCUGCUUCAUGGUGGGGGUUGGAAAGCUCCGGCGGUUGUGGAUGGACCCGCGGCCUAUCAGCUUGUUGGUGGGGUAGUGGCCUACCAAGGCGGCGACGGGUAGCCGGCCUGAGAGGGUGACCGGCCACAUUGGGACUGAGAUACGGCACAGACUCCUACGGGAGGCAGCAGUGGGGAAUCUUGCACAAUGGGCGCAAGCCUGAUGCAGCAACGCCGCGUGCGGGAUGACGGCCUUCGGGUUGUAGACCGCUUUCAGCAGGGACGAAGCUUUUUGUGACGGUACCUGCAGAAGAAGCACCGGCUAACUACGUG